CGGUCACAACACGUUGAAACAUCGGUUCCCGUACGAUCAUCGAAGUUAAGCAAAGUUGCGUUUGGUCAAUACUUAGAUGGGAGACCGCUUGAGAAAACCCGGUGCCGUAG